rnacentral:rRNA from 1 species
AGAGUUGAUUAUGGCUCAGGAUGAACGCUGGCGGCGUGCUUAACACAUGCAAGUCGAACGGAGCUUUUUGAAGGAGACUUCGGUCAACGGAAGCUAAAGCUUAGUGGCGGACGGGUGAGUAACGCGUGAGUAACCUGCCUUUCAGAGGGGGAUAACAUCCGGAAACGGAUGCUAAUACCGCAUAAAACAGCAGCACCGCAUGAUGCAACUGUCAAAGAUUUUAUCGCUGAAAGAUGGACUCGCGUCCGAUUAGGUAGUUGGUGAGGUAACGGCCCACCAAGCCGACGAUCGGUAGCCGGACUGAGAGGUUGAACGGCCACAUUGGGACUGAGACACGGCCCAGACUCCUACGGGAGGCAGCAGUGGGGAAUAUUGCACAAUGGGCGCAAGCCUGAUGCAAGCAACGCCGCGUGAGGGAAGACGGUUUUCGGAUUGUAAACCUCUGUUCUUAGUGACGAAGAAGUGACGGUAGCUAAGGAGCAAGCCACGGCUAACUACGUGCCAGCAGCAGC